rnacentral:lncRNA from 1 species
AAAAUAUUCCAAUGAGUGAGACAAAGGAUGCAACUAAACUACUGCAACAGAUGGCAGAUGCUAUUCCUGAAUCAGUCGUAAUCGAGAAUAAUGAAGACUGGCGUAAGAAAAGUCUUGUGGAUAAGAAUGAAUAUGUUCUAAAAAAGAAUCUAUUCACAGAUGUAUGUUUUAUUGUUGGUGAAGAAAAAAAGAGAUUCCAAGCAAUCAAAAGCAUGCUUUCAGUCGGGAGUCCAGUUUUUGCAACCAUGCUAAGUGAACGGUGGUCGUCUGAUGAAAGCGAAAUUGAGAUACCUGAUGUAAAGCCAGAUGCUUUCUAUGAACUUCUCAGAUUCAUUUACUGUGAAAAAGCUGAACUUCGCUGCGAUGCUUGGCCUAUUUUAUAUGCAGCGAUAAAAUAUGAUGUAGGAGCAUUGAAGAAUAAGUGCAUCGAUUUCCUCAAACAAAGUCUGUCUAGUGCUAAUGUUUGUUUUCGAUUAAUGAAGGCGAAAUUUUUGGGAGAGACAGAACUCAUAGAUGCAUGUUCUCAAAUGUUAGCUGAAGAGGCAACCAGUGCAAUGUCUCUUUGCUCAAAUCUGAUGAUGCACACACGCUAAGCCACAAAGAGUGUUUUCUCGACCUUGAUAUCGAAACAAUUUGUUUCAUCUUGGAGAUGAAGCAUCUCAAAAUCGAAGAGGUCUCUUUAUUCCAAGCGCUUCUUGGGUGGGCGAAAGUUGAAUGCGUGAGGCAAGACUUGGAUGCGAGCAUGGAGAAUGUGAAAUCUGUCUUGAAACAAGCCCUCUCAUUGAUUCGGUUCAGACUGAUGUCUCCCAAGGAAUUUACGGAGGUUGUUUCUGCCUCGGGCAUCCUUUCUACAGAAGAGGAACUAUCUAUUUAUGUAUACUUGAACUCCAAGCCUAGACCUGAAAACCUUAGACCAGUCCCUCGCUUUCAAAAAUCAAUCCAACUUUUAGUCUUCGAUGAACCAACACAAAAAAUUUUCCGCAUAGAAGCAAAAUCAUCGGACACGGUUGCAGAAUUAUAUCCUAUUAUAUCAACGGAACUCACGAGCGUGGCCGGCACUAGUCUCAAGUCCCCGAGGCCUUACAUUUCGUGGUAUCAUGAAAAUAUUGAACUGAUCGAGUCUUGUUCACUUUUAGAUUAUGGAAUUGAUAAUGAGUCAUUGAUUAUCAUCCGUUUAAGGGGAUUUGCGCCUAAAUUCGAUUUCCAAAAGAUAAAACAACCCCGAGUAACACCAAUACCCUUGAAGAAUCUGAAGGAGAUGGGUAUCUCCUUCACUAACUUGGGUAAACAUGGGUAACUAAGGCGUAUUUUGGACCCAUUUUACUAAACGCAAUACUCAUACAGACAUAACCGGGAUCUCUCAGUAAUACUGCCCUCUGUUGCUCACAUCAUAUUUUUCCUUUUUCAGAAUCCAAAAAAACUUUUUUCAAUCUACUCUUGCACUUUCAUUUCAGACACUUAUUUAUUUGCUACGUCCUGUAGUAUUAACACUAAAAUAACAAUUUAAAAAGCAGGUAACAAGGCGAAAAUUUCACGAAUAAAACCAAAACGUUUCGGCUGAAAACUCAGCUUUCCUCACUUGGAUAAAUAAAAAGAAAAAGGUAAAAAUCUAAAUAGUACCUGGCUGUACCUUUCAAAGCGAGAAUGUUGUUAUGACAGAAAUUUUGAUAAUGUAUAUAUCUUGUCAUGGGCUAUGUCAUGCCAUGGCUGUCAUGGAGCGUCUAUUAUAUCUCGUAGUAUUAACAUUUCCUUGUCCCCUCUCUCUUAUAACUAUAGUUUCUUCUAGUUCUUUUAUCCUUCUUUUACACAUACAUCACAAAUGAGAAUUGUCCGUGCCGUCUGCCCCUAUCAAUUAGACAGAUUAAAUCAAAAUCAACUUAAUCACAUCAGAAGUUGUCUAAUAUUCUCACAUGUUGUAUUUUUUUUUUAUAACAAAACCAGCAACUUUUUGACUUGAAAUUCCGUGAGUAUAUGAAGUCAUGUGUCUUUAAACAGCGGAUGUUGAGAAAUCUUGUUCAAAAUGUUCAGUACCGAGCAUUUUGAUAUCUGUAAAGCAAAUAGCGUUUUGGUCAAGGAAUUUAUCAUAGAGCAAGUCCUCGUUCAAUAAAUGAGCUUUUAAGACCCAAAAUUUUCACCAAGUAUCAUUUGAGAUUCGUACAUUGAUUUUAAAAAAGGAUGGCAUCCGCUGUUUAUAGGGAGAACUUUUUUUAGGCAUAAUAUUAACUACUAAACAAUAUAAAAGAAGUCUUUUAAUUGAAAUAAAUCAAAGUACAAUCCCUGGUGAGUUCUUUGAUGAUUUUUCGAAUAAAAUAAACAUUUUGUAACUUGUAAGACAACAAAAUAUGAUGAUGCGAUUUGCUUUCUCCUCUUCCUCUUUUCUCAGUAAUUUUUUGUGGAAGUUGAACAGUGGUUAAUAUUGAGCAACCUAAAAUUUUUUGCCACUUCAUGAGUGAGAUUUUUUACAGCCACAAAUCUUCCGGAACCACCCAUUGAGACAAAGGCCUUACUUACCUGUGUAAUGUGCUCAUUUUAUAUGUGUGAUUCCCAAAAAGAUUAAUUAGCUAAGCUUGUUCUGACGUCCGCUGUUUUUAUAUAAAACAUGGGUUUUUAUUCAUAUUUCAGUAGAAAAUUAUGCUAAAAGUCUGAAAUUUGGUAUCAACACCCUUGAAAGUUGGUAGAUUCUAAAAAGCGUCAUCUCUAGAAAUGGCGGUCGCCAACUUCCGUUGUUUAUACAGAUAUGGCUUUAUAUUUGCUGUAGUGUAGGGGAAAUUCCUUGAAAGUUUCAAAAUGUUAGGUUGUUUGAUUCUGUGGCAGAAAUGAAAAUCUGAGAGAAAAUUGAGUAACGUAAAAUGUAGUCAAACUGUUUUUGGUUUAUGCCUUCCAAUUGAUAGAAGAUAAAAGACUGGUACAUUCUAAGAUACGCUGUUUUAAUACUCUGAUACUAACUCUACAAUACGCUCUGUAAUACUAUAAUAUUCUAUUGAUCAUUGAUGGACCUGUAAACAUACUUUCAAAAUCUCAGGGAAACCAAUAUUAUUAUUUACCGAAGAAUGCUCCAUUUUAAACGUAAUUAUUAAUUUAAUAAGUUUAAUACUAUUUUUAUAGUUUUAGAAGUUAAGUUUUUCCCACUUUAACUGAUUUAUAUGAAUACAAAUUUAAAAAAUCAGUUAGUGAAGACUGUAUCCAACCAGAUUUUAUUAUAAGAAUAAACACUCAGUUUUGUAAAGAUUGUUAAGAUUUGUGCAGAAUUUUUUCCUUUUUAAACUACUUAAAAUUCUCACCUAAUUCAUUUUAGCAUGCCUUACAUAUUUAUAUUUAUACAAUUUAUAUGUAUACAAUUUUUUCCAUAAUUAAUUAUAGGUAUACAUUUGUGAUUUUUUAGUGUUGAUUCAUUGAAUUAGUGAAAAUAAAUUAAAAUACCAAUUUACCAAAAUUAAAACUCCUCUCGCCGACUCGCUAAUAUUAGUGUUGCAUGGAGCACCCCUGGAGGCUAAUUGGAUGCCAGGUGGGGCACCCCCGGAGGUUUUGCUCCCUAAAAAUUACGUAUCACAUUACUGAAAGAGGGUUAUACAAAAUCGGCGAUUUUGCCCCCCUCUUGGAUUUUGCCGGAGUUGGAUAUGUUGUUCCCUAUCACAAGACACGCCUUUUUCCGCCGUUGGCAAGUUCACCCGAAAUUUUUCCCACGCGCUACAGCGUUGCCAAGUUGAAAACAGGCAAAUUCCGUAGGUGGCAUUAAAAUUGAGCUAUGAAGUUGCGGUUUUAACGAAAAUGCUCUAAAAAUUGCGCAUUUUUAGAAAAUGACCAUGUUUUUAAUGUCGCAUUAAUUUUAACAUGCAUUGUUGCUAAUUUUUCGAUUUUUAAAUUCGACAAAUUUUACAAAUCCGCAAAUACCCAAAAAGCUAUCUUCAAAUUUGAAUGAAAAGUUGUUUAAUCGAUAGUUGGUUCGAAUCCGCAUCCAUCGAUAUAUUAUAGUUGCAGGGAAAUUCUUUGUUCGCGAGAUAUCAUAAUUUUUGUAAACAGCUUUAUGGAGCGACGACGCUUUUUGAGUCCGGGCAGAUAGAAAUUUUAGCCUCCAAAACACCGGGUAGCAUAAUUCCAUGGUUUCCUACGUCAUUUUUGGCGCUGAAUCCGAAUUUGACCAUUUUUUAAAAAAAUUGUUGCCAAGACAGGGUGUCUAGCAUCAGGAAAAACCCGAAAAUAUCAGGAAUUUUGGCCGAUCAGGAAAAAAUCCGGAAAAUUGGAAAAUCGGACGUUUUUAUCAGGAAUUUUUCUUACGCAAAUCUCCUCAGCGGAGAAAGUCUUACUGCUUUUUGCCUACCGUGCCAGGAGUCGAGAAAAAUCAGAAACAUAUCAGGAAUUUUCAUAAUGAAAAAAUCCGGAAUUUUUUAUACAAUAUCAGGAUUUUUAAAAAUUAAAAAAUACUAGACACCCUGCAAGAAGUUGCCAAAUUUGGCAAAAAUGGCUUAAAAUUGGCCUUUUUUGCGGAUUAUGGCUAGUGACUUGCCAGGAGUUGAUCAGACGACCAAAUUGGUUAUUUCCACAUUUAAAACUCGUUAAACGGUCUGUAAGCUGAGUCAAAUUUUUUCUGCUCACGGCAAAAUUAAACGCGCGACAAGCAGCAAACUGAAAAAAGACACCAAAAUCGGCGCUUUUUGCGGUUUUUUGUCCUUAGUUUCUUGUUUUCCGAAUAAGAGAAUGUUUCUUGACUAAACUAAUGAACAACAUGAGCAGAAUUUAAUAGAAUUGAACAAUAAAAUAAAAUCGAACAUAUUCCGAUGUUGCCAAGCUUAAACAAAAUACUUGAAUUUUCGCUGGUUUUGUCGAUAUUUGCCCUAUAUUCUUGGUUCACUUCUUAUUUUUAAAUUUUAUAAAUGUAUCUCUUGUGCAAAAUAAUACACUUCUGUAGAAUAAUCUAAUUUUCAACUUAUGUAUACUAAUAACUAGCGUACUUAGUCCAGAGAGGACUAAUUCAUAAACCUUGAGUUUUGUCGAAUGGUGUCAAUCAAUCACAUUUUGAA